rnacentral:misc_RNA from 1 species
GAUGAAGAACGCAGCGAAAUGCGAUACGUAAUGUGAAUUGCAAAUUCAGUGAAUCAUCGAGUCUUUGAACGCACAUUGCGCCCCCUGGUAUUCCGGGGGGCAUGCCUGUCCGAGCGUCAUUGCUGCCCUCAAGCACGGCUUGUGUGUUGGGCCCCGUCCUCCGAUCCCGGGGGACGGGCCCGAAAGGCAGCGGCGGCACCGCGUCCGGUCCUCAAGCGUAUGGGGCUUUGUCACCCGCUCUGUAGGCCCGGCCGGCGCUUGCCGAUCAACCCAAAUUUUUAUCCAGGUUGACCUCGGAUCAGGUAGGGAUACCCGCUGAACUUAAGCAUAUCAAUAAGCGGAGGA